AGAGUUUGAUCAUGGCUCAGGAUGAACGCAGGCGGCGUGCCUAAUACAUGCAAGUCGAACGAGGUGCUUUUUGUAGCAAUACGAGAAGUAUCCUAGUGGCGAACGGGUGAGUAACGCGUGGAUGACCUGCCCCAAAGUGUGGGAUAACAGUCCGAAAGGAUUGCUAAUACCUCAUGUGGUUAUCGGGUUUAGAAACUGAUAACUAAAGCAGUAAUGCGCUCUGGGAGGGAUCUGCGUCCCAUCAGCUAGUUGGUGAGGUAAUGGCUCACCAAGGCUACGACGGGUAGGGGACCUGAGAGGGUGGCCCCCCCCAAUGGAACUGAAACCCGGUCCAUACACCUACGGGUGGCAGCAGUAGGGAAUAUUGCACAAUGGGCGAAAGCCUGAUGCAGCAACGCCGCGUGAGCGAUGAAGGCCUUCGGGUCGUAAAGCUCUUUUCUGAGAGACGAGAUAGGACGGUUCUCAGAAUA
rnacentral:rRNA from 1 species